rnacentral:rRNA from 1 species
UCCUACGGGAGGCAGCAGUGGGGAAUAUUGCACAAUGGGCGAAAGCCUGAUGCAGCAACGCCGCGUGAGCGAUGAAGGCCUUCGGGUCGUAAAGCUCUGUCCUCAAGGAAGAUAAUGACGGUACUUGAGGAGGAAGCCCCGGCUAACUACGUGCCAGCAGCCGCGGUAAUACGUAGGGGGCUAGCGUUAUCCGGAAUUACUGGGCGUAAAGGGUGCGUAGGUGGUUUCUUAAGUCAGAGGUGAAAGGCUACGGCUCAACCGUAGUAAGCCUUUGAAACUGAGAAACUUGAGUGCAGGAGAGGAGAGUGGAAUUCCUAGUGUAGCGGUGAAAUGCGUAGAUAUUAGGAGGAACACCAGUUGCGAAGGCGGCUCUCUGGACUGUAACUGACACUGAGGCACGAAAGCGUGGGGAGCAAACAGGAUUAGAUACCCUGGUAGUCCACGCCGUAAACGAUGAGUACUAGCUGUCGGAGGUUACCCCCUUCGGUGGCGCGGCUAACGCAUUAAGUACUCCGCCUGGGAAGUACGCUCGCAAGAGUGAAACUCAAAGGAAUUGACGG